AGGGUUUGAUCAUGGCUCAGAACGAACGCUGGCGGCAGGCCUAAUACAUGCAAGUCGAACGAGAAAGCAUCUUCGGAUGUAAGUACAGUGGCGGACGGGUGAGUAAUACAUAGGAAUCUACCCAAUGGUGGGGGAUAGCUCGGGGAAACUCGAAUUAAUACCGCAUAAUCUCUACGGAGUAAAGGGGGCUUCGGCUCUCGCCAUCGGAUGAGCCUAUGCAGGAUUAGCUUGUUGGUGAGGUAAUGGCUUACCAAGGCAACGAUCCUUAGCUGGUUUGAGAGGAUGACCAGCCACAUCGGGACUGAGACACGGCCCGGACUUCUACGGAAGGCAGCAGUAGGGAAUAUUGGACAAUGAGCGAAAGCUUGAUCCAGCCAUGCCGCGUGUGUGAAGAAGGCCUUAGGGUUGUAAAGCACUUUAGUUAGGGAGGAAGGCAAUUAGGUUAAGAGCUAAAUUGUUUGACGUUACCUAAAGAAUAAGCACCGGCUAACUCCGUGCCAGCCGCCGCGGUAAUAC
rnacentral:rRNA from 1 species